rnacentral:snRNA from 1 species
GGUUGGGCGAUCGGGCUGUGACAUCUGUCACCCCAUUGAUCGCCAGGGCUGAUUCAGCUGAUCUGGCUGGCUAGUAGUCCCCUUCCUCCCUCACCCCUCCAUAUGCAUCCCUCCCAGUUAAAGAGGAGACCUAGUGGAGGACCAGCCUUAGGUCAAGGGUAUAUGGAUAGCUGCGCUUCCCUGCUAGAACCUCCAAACAAUCUCUCAAAGUCCAUAAUACAGUUUUUAAUUUAUUAAAAAUUAUUAAGGGAAAAAGGAGGUAUUAUGAAAUUU